AAAACUCGAACUGUCAACAUAAGGAAAAAGAAACAACAGACAAACGAACAGUCUGAACAGAACAGGCGAACUAAAAGUUAACUGAAUGAAUAGUUAAUAUUGCUACAAGGAUGAAUUCAUUACAUUGAUUGAUAUGAGCCAAGGGAAUCUAAUAUUUUGCUGUGAAAUUAAUCAUGAUAAACAGUUGAACAGUAACUUGUGGACUGUGUGAGGUUGUGAGACAAGGCCGAGAGCACAAGGAAGCCUCACAAUACACAAUGUCGGUAACGAGGGAGCUGACCAUUGUAGGCGUGGUUUUAUUCAUCGCCGCUGGACUUUUGGUAAUUCGAUCGUUCAAAGUUUGAUUUCCAAUAAAUUGACACUUUACUAUUUGCAUGAUUUAACAAGUGUUUAAAGUACAAUAUAUAAAUUAUCGAAAUAUCUAAAGAUUCAUUCUUACUUUGCUGUCAUUUCAGCUAUUCAUCAUGGCGUUUAUCGUGGUGAAGCGUCAGAUAUCAAGGUUUGCUACAAGAGGAGCCCAGAAGUCUAUAGGAUCAGGUGCUCCAAAGAUGUUUAAAAAGCAGAUAUUGGAAAAGUUAAAUCGAGUAUCUACUAUAAAGUAUGAACCCACUUUACUGAACAACAAAGUUAUGUCAUCUCCAGAUUCCAGUCACUACUUACACAGAAUGAAGGCCAUGGAUGCUUUCUCUAUGUUUGAUGAAACUAUAAAAACAGUAGACAGCAACUAUAAGGGUCGACACCCCAACACGAGGGUCAGAUGGUACCUGACAGGUCUGAGUAAAACUUACCUGUGUACCUGUCCCCUGGACCUGAUCAAUGACUUCUGUGAUGCCUAUGAGCAUGCCAGACACAGCCCAGAGGUAUCAUUUGUUUCAUUACACCUCAAAAUGUCAGGUUCUGUUUGCAUGAGAAAUAUUAUGGUAGAGAAAAAAGAUCUAUUUUUUGAAAUUUCGUUUCUUCUUGGUACAUACUUUCAAAUUGCAAUCUGUAUGAACUUAUCCAUAGGUAACAGAAAUAAAUAUUUAGUUUACAUGUAUAUAUUUUCUGCAACAAAUUUUGGUUUUUUAAUGGAAAAAAGCAUUGUAUCAAAUUGUUCAUAUCAAUUAUAUUUCUAGAUGUUUGGAGAAAAUGAAUACAACAAUUACAUGAAACUUUUGACUCGGCUUUUAGAUAGUCUGAAGAAAGGAUUUGAAAUGAAAUCACCUCAGAUUCCUUCAGAGAUUUCUGCUCUUGAUUCAAAAGUAUCAAUUGACAAAAAACAGAGAAUAAAGAUGGAGGUGCUCCAAAAGACUAACCGACUGUACCAGACCCCAGAGGAUCUGAGACUCCGGACUCGGAGUGGGAGUAGUGGGCACUCCAGUCUCCUGGACAGCGGCCGGUCCAGUCAGCCGAGCAGUGAGCAGACAGAACGGGAAUCUCCGGAGAGGAUCGCGAUGGUGGAACUCAGUACCAACGACAAGGAGAACCUGGUCUGAGUGUACUCAUUGGUCUGAGUGUACUCAUUGUUCUGAGUGUACUCAGUCAAGUCAGGAAAUGAAGGAUGGGACAACUGUGCAAUCUCACUAUCAACUGUGUUUGGAUACAAUCUCACUAUCCAUUGAAUGAGCAAAGAACGAACUUUAUGAAUAAAUAUUAUUACCAUCCAUUGUGUGAUUGAUUAUACAAUAGAGCUAUUCACUGGAUGGGAAUGCAAUCUAGCUAUUCACUGUAUGGAUAAACAGUCUAGCUAUUCUUUGUAUGGAUAAACAAUCUAACAAUGGAUUAAUAAUUGAACUUUCCACUGUAUGGAUAAAUAAUCUAACUAUGGAUAAACAGUCUAGCUAUCCACUGUAUGGAUAAGCAAUCUUAAUAUUUACUGUAUUUAUUAUAAACAAUCUAUUUACUGUACGGAUUAACAAUCUAAUUAUUUACUGUAUGGAUAAACAUUCAUUCAAGGGACAUAUAUACAGUUUGCUAAAAUGCCAAACAACUGGCUCUGAAAAGAACUCAUACAUGUACUGUAAACAUAUUUUUGUGUCAAGAUUAUAGACCGAUAUACAGAGCUUCAAACGUAAGACACUUGUAUAUUGUAAGAACAGGAAAAGAUUAUUUUUCGCAAUGAUUAUCAUGACGUAUGUGUUGUUUAAUUCAUGUGUUGAUUCAAAACUGUGAGGUUGAGCAAAAGUAAACGUACAUGUAUGUAUGUUAAAUAAAUGUGAAUAAAUGAAAAAUAACUGUU
rnacentral:misc_RNA from 1 species